rnacentral:rRNA from 1 species
AUUGAACGCUGGCGGCAUGCCUUACACAUGCAAGUCGAACGGUAACGCGGGGCAACCUGGCGACGAGUGGCGAACGGGUGAGUAAUAUAUCGGAACGUGCCCAGUAGUGGGGAAUAGCCCGGCGAAAGCCGGAUUAAUACCGCAUACGACCUGAGGGUGAAAGCGGGGGACUCGCAAGAGCCUCGCGCUAUUGGAGCGGCCGAUAUCAGAUUAGCUAGUUGGUGGGGUAAAAGCCUACCAAGGCGACGAUCUGUAGCUGGUCUGAGAGGACGACCAGCCACACUGGGACUGAGACACGGCCCAGACUCCUACGGGAGGCAGCAGUGGGGAAUUUUGGACAAUGGGCGCAAGCCUGAUCCAGCCAUGCCGCGUGCGGGAAGAAGGCCUUCGGGUUGUAAACCGCUUUUGUCAGGGAAGAAACGGUCUGGGCCAAUACCCCGGACUAAUGACGGUACCUGAAGAAUAAGCACCGGCUAACUACGUGCCAGCAGCCGCGGUAAUACGUAGGGUGCAAGCGUUAAUCGGAAUUACUGGGCGUAAAGCGUGCGCAGGCGGCUUUGCAAGACAGAUGUGAAAUCCCCGGGCUCAACCUGGGAACUGCAUUUGUGACUGCAAGGCUAGAGUGCGGCAGAGGGGGAUGGAAUUCCGCGUGUAGCAGUGAAAUGCGUAGAUAUGCGGAGGACACCGAUGGCGAAGG